AGCAAGAGACAGGCGCCUUUCUGGGACGCGUAAGCGAGGAAAACCUCCAGCUAAAACCGCUUCCGGUUCCGAUGCUAGCGAAGAGGAAUCGGAUACGGACUUCAAACUAAGGUUGAAAGGAGCAAGUACUCCGAGGAGAAAUCCUCGCAGAACCGCCGUUGAUUCCAGGUAAGCUAGUCUGUUCAGUUUCGUCUUCGAACGCUGAUACUUGACAAUUGAACUUGCAGGUUCCAGAUGUUUGUUGAUAAAAACGACGGCUUGGACUCGCUCUUUACAGCACGGAGCUCCAGUCGACUGGUCACGGAGCCGGACGUUGUCCCGGAGACGCAAAACGUGGAAGAAACUUUGACGGGCCCUCAAGGUGGUCAGAAGAAGAAAACAGCGAGCCGAAGAAGCUCGCAGGCCCAAACUCCUCCGGUCAUUCAGCAGGAUCCUUCUCCAGUGAUGAUCAUCACUCCGGAAGGAGUGGUGAGCUCUCAAGAAGCAGCGCCAGAGGCAGAGAAAGCUCGCGGCGAAACGAAAAGAAAGCGUCCUUCAGCGAAGGCAAGCAAGCGCCGCGCCAAGAGCAGCGAGCAAACUCCGGCUCCAACGCGCACUACUUUCACUCCGGCUCCAUCUCCGACUACUCCUUUGGCUCCGAUUCCACUCAUGGAGAGAAUGCCAACGUCGAGUGGUAAGAAGAAGCGUAGGUAAAUAUCUUCUCGCUCUCACCUUUUUAUUAUCGCGCUCUCUCUGGUUUUUUCCUCGAUUUGUUUUUACUUUCUUUACAGGCAGGCGUAGAGAGCCCGUGGAUUGUCCAUUCUGUGGUAGAACCUAUUCCUACCAGACUGAGCGUUUUGGGCGCAUAAGAAAGCUUGUGGUAGCUGGAAGAAAGAGGAAUCUACUUUUUCAAAAGUAGGAUAUGCUUUUAGGGUAUUCCGUCUAUAAGACGGUUUUGUUUAUUGAAAGAGGUAUAUUCGAUGUUUAUCAGAUCCAUUAUGCUUUAGGGGUUUUUGUCUGAGGAAUUGGAGAGAUGGGAGUGGCGGGCGCCGAGCGGCUAGAAUGCGUCGAUCUCUCCUGCCCGGACGUGGAGCGCCUGGCGCAGCAGCUCAGGAAGGUAACGGUCGAUCGGUCGGUUUUCGAUUUUCGCGUGUGGAAAUCUCGUGAUUUAGGCCUGCCUGGAGACGGGGUUCUUCUAUGUUGUGAACCACGGGAUAAGCGAGGAGUUUAUGGCACAGGUGUUUGAGCAGAGCCGGAAAUUCUUCACGCUUCCCUUGGAGGAGAAGAUGAAGGUCUACCAGGAUGAGAACGUCCGGGGCUACACCCCGAUCUUUGACGAGAAACUGGAUCCGGCAAAGCAGCGCCUUGGUACAAACGUUUGUGUUGUGUGAUGCUCAUCGUGUUUUUCAUGUCGAGAACAGGGGAUGCGAAGGAAGGAUAUUAUAUUCGACGCGAAGUUUCAGGGAGUGAUCCCAGAGCGAAGGAUCCUUUGCAAGGACCGAAUCAAUGGCCAUCUCCUGGUUUGAUUUUCUUUUUGUCCUUCUUCUAAACGUUACUGUGUUUGUUUUUCUCCAAAUUUUGCCAGAUACACUCCCAGAAUGGAAGCAAACAAUGGAAAUGUAUUUCGACCAGGCCGAGUACGUAUAUUUCUCUUUUUCUCUUCUUGAACAAAGAACAAGACUUUGGAUUGCAGAAAGCUCUCGCGGAAACUAAUCAAGCUCAUUGCGCUAGCGUUGGAACUAGAAGAAUCGUUUUUCGACAAGCCUGGGAUGUUUGACCACGCCAUGGCAGCGGUUCGUUUGCUUCACUAUCCAGGUAAGUUAAUCGAGAUAUUUUGAUAGUUUUUUCCUUUGUCCUCGAUACAGCUCAAGCUUCCAAUCCGGAAGAGGGAUUUUUUGGUGCUGGUGCGCACAGUGACUACGGAAUGCUCACACUUCUCGCCAGCGAUGGCGUUCCUGGUCUCCAGGUAGGUCAACGUGUUCUAAUAAUAAAAAUUAUGAUCAGCACUUGGAAAGAAUAGAUUUGCAAGGAGAAGGAUGCAAAGGAGCAAGUCUGGACUAAUGUCCAGCCACUGAAAGGGUGGGUUUGAGGACUAGCUAUGAAGCCCACUUACCUAUGGAUUUGAUGAGCAGGGCAUUUAUAGUCAACUUGGGAGAUAUGCUAGAGCGCUGGACAAACAACCUUUUCAGGUAGAAAUAUUGCGAUUGUUUGAGACUCUGACGUUGAUUCACAUUGUCUAUCAAGGUCAACAUUGCACCGGGUGCUCAACUAUGGGGUCGAACGCUACUCGGUGAGCAAAAUGCUUGACGUGUUUAGAAUCGUGAUGGAUUACUUUCGACAGAUUGCUUUCUUCAUGGGGCCAAAUUUUGACUGCAUUGUGGAGUGCAUUCCAACGUGUUGCAGCGAGCUGAAUCCAUCAAAGUAUGUAGCUAGCUUUCUCCUGGUGGUAUUUCUAAGUUUGCUUGCUUUGUGAUAGAUUCCCUCCUGCUAAGAGUGGCGACCAUCUUUUAGGAAGAUAUAAAGUCACUCACAAGGAUUAUGAAGCUGUGGCAAACCGAAAAUAUACGUAAUCUAUAAUACUAAAAAUGAAUUGUUGGAUGUCACUGUUUCAUCGGCAUUGAACCAUGGCACAAGUCUUUCUCUUCCACGCCAAUGAAGAAGAUUGAGACUCUCUUAUUUGGAAGUCCCACUCAUACAGCAAGCAUGAGAAAUCUCCAGUGCAAGAAACUCCCGAAAAUCCUCUUUAGCGGAUGGCCUGAUAACUCGUGCUCUAUUUUUCAGUACCUCAAGGAGAAUGUCGAUGAAAUGCGCACCGAGCAGCCUCUUUCAUCUCGAAAGUCCUCAUUGGUUUCACCACUGCUGUAGGGUGGAAUGGUGAACGUGAAGUUUGUAAAAGCCAUGAAGAAGAAGGUAUGCCACUUCCAUUGCACUGCAUUGCAUCGGUUCUAAUCUUGCAAAUGUUAAAACAGGGAGCACUGGCUGUCAAUGUUUUUGGACUACAAAUCUGUGAGAGAUGGCCUUGAUCUAGAGGAUGAUCCUCAAGGUGGCACAUUGCUGGAGUGACAGGUUCCAAUUUAUUGAGGGAAUGUUCUAGCUUCCUUCCAGGUCGACCAUUGUGACUUUUGGCUAGUUUAGCUUUGUUUCUUCCAUAAGAGCCUGGCAAUGCCUAGGUGUAUAGCUAGAAAGUCUUAAUUCUACUUCAUGGGAAAGGAUCUCUAAGAAGUGAUUGAGAGAGACCUCAAACCAGGCAACAAUCAAACUAGGCAACAAUGAUGUAGAUUAGAGAAUAGCAAAAGACUGGGUAGCACUAAACUAUAUAAUUUUAAUUUUAGAAGUAGAAAAUAUACUUUAUUUAAAGGUAUAUUAUAUUUUAAGUCAAGAAGAAAAAUAAAAACAAUUUGUGCAGACAAGAGAUGAGAGAGCCAAAGAGGCAAGAAAAGCCAAGACACAAAGAGCGGCCACUAGAAAAAAGUCCACCAACUUUACAAUAAUAUUGUUCAUGAUAUUGUGAGUAUACACAAUAUCUACUAUGUUUCUGGUAAACAAGACACUAAUUUCAGUAGAUGUGCAUGAUUGCAGACUCAGUAGGCAAUACGAUUACGUGUGGGAGGAGAUAUGAUGGGGCUGUAUUGUCUGAAUAUUGCCAGAGUGGGCCUACUUUUCAGGACCAAGGCUCAGUCACAACGCAUUUUGGAAUCCGACUCAGAGCAGGAAUUGUCAAGCUCUCAGCCACCAAAAUCUGGGAGAGCAAGAGACAGGCGCCUUUCUGGGACGUGUAAGCGAGGAAAACCUCCAGCUAAAACCGCUUCCAGUUCCGAUCCGAGUGAACAGGAAUCGGAUAUGGACUUCAAAAUAAGGUUGAGAGGAGCACCGUGCUGUAAAGUGCGAGUCCAAGCCGUCGUUUUUAUCAACAAACAUCUGGAACCUGCAAGUUCAAUUGUCAGGUAUCAGCGUGUAAAUACGAAACUGAAGAGACUAGCUUACCUGGAAUCAAUGGCGGUUCUGCGAGGAUUUCUCCUCAGAGUAC
rnacentral:lncRNA from 1 species